AGGGGUGUAACUCAGUGACAAAGUGUGUGCUUAGAAUGCAAGAGGGCCUGGGUUUAAUUCUCAGCACCACUA
rnacentral:tRNA from 1 species